rnacentral:rRNA from 1 species
UACGUAGGGGGCAAGCGUUGUCCGGAUUUAUUGGGCGUAAAGAGCGUGUAGGCGGCUUGGUAGGUCUCGCGUCAAAACCUGAGGCUCAACCUCAGUUCGCGUGGGAAACCACCUAGCUAGAGUCCGGAAGAGGAGAACGGAAUUCCCAGUGUAGCGGUGAAAUGCGCAGAUAUUGGGAAGAACACCAGUGGCGAAGGCGACUCUCUGGGCUGUAACUGACGCUGAGGCGCGAAAGCGUGGGGAGCAAACAGG